AGCUCCAAUAGCGUAUAUUAAAGUUGUUGCGGUUAAAACGCUCGUAGUUGGGUUUCUGUCAGGAACAACUGGUCUGUCCCGAGUGUCGAGCACUAGUUCGGCUCCUGGCAUCUUCUUGGGGAACGGGUGCGUACUUCACUGUAUGGCCUGGAAACCUUGACGUUUACUUUGAGGAAAUGAGAGUGCUUCAAGCGGGUGUCCGCCACGAAUACGUUAGCAUGGAAUAAUAGUAUUGGACCUCGGAUCAUAGCUGUUGGUUGCUGGAAUCGGGGUGAGGGUAAACA
rnacentral:rRNA from 1 species